rnacentral:rRNA from 1 species
UUAAGCAUAUCAAUAAGCGGAGGAAAAGAAACCAACAGGGAUUGCCUCAGUAACGGCGAGUGAAGCGGCAAAAGCUCAAAUUUGAAAUCUGGUACCUUUGGUGCCCGAGUUGUAAUUUGAAGAUAGUUUUCUGGUGCUGGCCCUUGUCUAUGUUCCUUGGAACAGGACGUCACAGAGGGUGAGAAUCCCGUCUGGCGGGGUGUCCAGUGCUUUGUAGAUUUCUAUCGACGAGUCGAGUUGUUUGGGAAUGCAGCUCUAAGUGGGUGGUAAAUUCCAUCUAAAGCUAAAUAUUGGCGAGAGACCGAUAGCGAACAAGUACAGUGAUGGAAAGAUGAAAAGAACUUUGAAAAGAGAGUGAAAAAGUACGUGAAAUUGUUGAAAGGGAAGGGUAUUAGAUCAGACUUGGUGUUUUGUGAUUAUCUUCCCUUCUUGGGUUGUGCACUCGCAUUUCACUGGGCCAGCAUCGGUUCGGGUGGUAAGAUAAUGACAUUGGAACGUGGCACUACCUUCGGGUGGUGUGUUAUAGCCCUUGUUGAUGUUGCCUACCUGGACCGAGGACUGCGGCUUUUGCCUAGGAUGCUGGCGUAAUGAUCUAACACCGCCCGUCUG